rnacentral:rRNA from 1 species
GACGAACGCUGGCGGCGUGCUUAACACAUGCAAGUCGAACGAAGUGGCGAACGGGUGAGUAACGCGUAAUCAACCUGCCCUUCAGCGGGGGACAACAGUUGGAAACGACUGCUAAUACCGCAUACUGUAGGAGGGGAUUGCGUCUGAUUAGCUAGUUGGAGGGUUAACGGCCCACCAAGGCGAUGAUCAGUAGAGGGUCUGAGAGGAUGAACGGCCACAUUGGGCAUGAGGAAAGGCCCAGACUCCUACGGGAGGCAGCAGUGGGGAAUCUUCCGCAAUGGACGAAAGUCUGACGGAGCAAAGCCGCGUGAGUGAUGACGGCCUUCGGGUUGUAAAGCUCUGUUAAUCGGGACGCGGUACCGGAAUAGAAAGCCACGGCUAACUACGUGCCAGCCGCCGCGGUAAUAC